GGCUCCUCCAGGGGAAGAUGAUGAGGACUUCCCUUCUCUCCCAACUCUGCUCCGAGGGUGAGACCACGGGGUGGGGGAUGAGGCCCAGGGUCUCUGAAGCCCUGGGACGUCUUGCUCAGCGCAGCCUCGUCCUUUCAGUACGGCUGAGGUUUCUUCCUGGGAAUCUCCGUCAGCAACUGGAAGGGCCCGGCUGGCAAGCGCUGGGGAACGAGGCUCCACACCUGCUGUCUCCUGGCUGGAGAGAGGGUGCAGCUCUGCCGAUGAAAUUCUACGUGGAUUAAUUAAAGUGGGGGAAAGCAUUUCAUUGUUGGAUCUUGUUACGGAGGUACCAGAGCCUCUUUUUUGGUGGUGGUGGUGGGGAACAUGCUCCAAGCCUAGGGUUUUUUUUUUUUUUUUUGGCCAGGCUGCGCGGCUUUCGGGAUCUUACUUCCCUGCCAGGGAUCGAUCCCAGGCCCCGGGCAUUGGAAGCUCAGAGUCCUAACCACUGGACCACCAGGGAAGUCCCAGCCUGGGGGUUUAUGGUAGGGGAGAAGCCGGUUGCCUGCCUCUCUAGAGGUGUGGUGUUAAUCCUUAACGCCAGAAGGGAAGAGCCUUCAUGGGGGAAGUCUGCAGGGGAAGCUUUAGAAAGAUCCCCCCAUGCACAGUGGGCAGCUUCACAUUCCUUUCUUUUUUUUUUUUUUCCGAAGACGAGGGCUGUCCUCCAGGGCAGCUUCCCCCAGAGAGGGCAAGAAAGGAGCAGGCAAGACAGAAGCCACAGAAUUUGUGUAACCUAAUCUUGGACAUCCCAUCGCUUUUGUGUUUUCUACUUGUUAGAAGCAGGUCCUUCGGUCCAGCCCACGCUCCAGCAAAGAAGAUUCCACAGGGACACAGAGGCAGAGACAUCAGAGCUCGCUCUCUCCACCAUGUGAAGACACAGCAAGAAGGCGGCUGUCUACAAGCCAGGAAGGGAGCUCUCACCAGACCCCGACCAUGCUGGCACCCUGAUCUUGGACUUCCAGCCUCCAGGAAGAGGAAGUGUGGACACGUAGAGAUGCCAGGGAUGUGUGUGCUCGGGGGAGACCCUGUGAGGACCCAGCAAGAAGGCAGCAUGUGCAGGCAAGGAGAGAGGCCUCAGGAGAGACCAGACCCCCGACACCUCGACCUUGGACUUUCAGCCUCCAGAACUGAGCACGAGUGGGGUGGGGCCUUCAGACGACCCAGGCUGUUUCCCACGAGGGGGAUCUGCAGGGUGAGGGGAACGAACCCACGAGAAGCAGCAGAGACUGGGCCUGUGAGCCCCUCCCAGGCCCGGCAUCCUGGGGCCCCGCUUGGCCGGCCUCAGGCUGGGGCCGCCACCUUUACCCCAAGCUCACGGGGUGGUUAAGCAGCUCAGACCCUUCCUGGCACAGACGUCUGCUUCCGUGGAUCGGACCCUGCGGAAAGGACCCCGCUGGCCCGGACCCACCGAAGAAGAGCUCAGGCCCGGCCUUGGAGGUGGGCCAGCGCCAGUGAAACCUGUACCGAGAAGAAGCAGCAAGGCAGCAAAGUGCCGCUCAGCACACCAUCCAGGGAGUCAGCCCAGAGGUGGGACAGGGUGCCCCUCCCCUUGCUGACUCCCGGCCUGCGCUCUGUCCUCUGGGCUCCACGUCUCAGGGACACCCUGGAGAAGGUGCAGCCAGGCAGCUCCGUGAGUGGCCGCCGAGCAUUACCAGUGGUGCCCAGGCCUGAAGGCCCCGUCCCUCCUCCUUAAUGAGGACAUGGACCUGAGCAUCCUUCCCGCCUCCUGGUAUCACCCUUGAGCUUGUUGCCAAAUCUGGCUCCCUGUGCACCUAUGCCGAAUAACAAUACGGAGACAGAGAAUUGGAAGAUAAGAAAUAGAGAGGCUUUUUAUUUUCUUUGCCAGGCAAAGGGAAGACACGGUAGGCUAACACCUCAAGAACUGUGCCCCCUCCUUGGGGAAUUGGAGAAGAUUUUAUAUGUGGGGCUCGCAGUCCGGGGCAUGUGAUAAAGGAUCAAAAGUAGUGAAGGCCUUGCAUUUCUUUUCUUCUGUAAAUUCAUGGCCAAAGCUGGCAUCAGGUGGCUCAUCAACCGGGUCUGGUGUUCCUGAAGUUAUCGGCCUGCGACCUUCUUUCUGAAACGAUGAGUGCCACAAGGGAGUGUAGGGGGAGAGAGGUGCCAGGUGCAAAGGGUCAUUUGUAUGGAGUCAGAGAGCAAUCAGCUUUGUGAAGGACAAGUCUAGCUACAAGUGUUUCUUAGUAGUAACAACUAAAGAAUAACCAAGAUUGCUUAACUCUUUCAGGCCUGUUUAUGCUGUUUCCUCAGCCUAUUCAUCGUUUCCUUAUUUUUCCUGGUUAUCAGGAGAGGAAAAAACCUCAUUUCUUUUUUUUUUUUUUUUGCGUUGGGUUUUUGUUGCUGCGUGCAG